AAAUGGCCUUUCGGACGCCAGUUUCCAUCCACGGCUUCACUACAUCCAUCAGAACGCACAAUGAUUGUCCUGAAUCAUUCGAAAUCAGCGCUUGAAUCCUUUCAACGACUGCGGAGGUUCUCGCGGUGCAUUCUUUCGAGUGACUCUUCCUCGCUAGCAUAUUGGAAUCUUCGUUGGACUGUUCUAAAGCCGUAUAUUUUGCCACAACGUCAUAAACGGUUGAUCUCGAGUAUCCAAAGAAUUAUUUUCGUUGCUGAGCGCCCAGCGCGAAGGCCUCCGAUGAUCGCGGCUUUUUGAUUAUACUCUGCACUUGGUUUCAAUACCAUUUUGAAUAUGACUGUUUACUAGAAGCAUCAGACUUUCUCGGACGCCAACAACAACCUUUAGCGGAGUAAUGGAAGGGGAAUACGGACGUUGAGUUGUGAGCAAAACUGAGAGACAGAAGAUUUCUAUCCUACUCAACUUUUCUUCUUUUUGCGCAUGACCAUUCCUAGCCAAUCGAAAUUUUCAGAUGCCAAUACGUAGUAUCCAAAUAUAAGCGCGAUUUUAUUAUAACUUACAUAAAAUGAUUCAAUAUUGCAUUUUGUGUUGUAAUCAUGACAAUGUUUUAUCACAGAUUUCCAAAAGAUAUGCAAAUAAGAAAAAAAUGAUUAAUUUUGUAUUUGUAGAAUUAGAGUUUUGUAAUUUUGAUGGAAAUUUUGUGAUCAAAACUACCACUUAUUUAUGCUCAAAACAUUUCACGGAAAAAGAUUCUUACAACAAUUAACUUUUUACAGCCACUAAUAGAGUUUUAAAGAGUAAAAGCAUACUAUCUUUAUCAUGUCAAAAAAGAAAAAGUUAUAUAAUUGUAAGAAUCAAACUAAAACAGUAAAAUUAAGAUUGUAGCAAAAUGCUACAAAAGUGAAUAUAUGGUAAAUGUGUGUGAAGAGGAAUCAUGUUCAACAAUAAUAAAUAUAUAUAAAGAGGAACCAUAUUCAACAAUAAUAAAUGUACGUGAGGAGGAACUAUCAUGUUCAACUAGAGUAAAUGUAUGUAAAGAAGAACCAUGUUCAAAAAUAGUAAAUAUAUGUGAGGAGGAACUAUCAUGUUCAAUUGUAAUAGCCGAUAAAAAUAUGGAUGAAUUAAUUCCUAAAGAAGAGUAAAUUGAUCAUGACGCAAUUGCAACCAAUGUGAAAAAUUUUAAAACGUAAGAAAGCCGAAAAAAUGAAAUAUUCACCCGAAUUAAGAGCAUUUGCACUUACGUUAAAUUUUAUUUGUCGAAAGCUUACAACUACGUAAGAGUUUUUGUGAUCUUUUACCUGAAUUCUCUACUAUUCGAAAAUAGUAUUCAGUAUUGAAUGCACGUCCCGGAUUUAUCGCUGAAGCAUUUGAAGCUCUAAAGUGUCAGGUUAAAACAAAUAACAAUCCGAUUCUGUGUAAUCUCGUAAUAGACGAAAUAGAGAUUCGACAACAGCUCAAUCAAGAUCAUUUGGAGACAUAUUUUAGCACCAUAAGAAGUCGGGGAGGAUUCAAUGACAAUCCUAACGCUCAAGAAUUUGAAGCAGCAUAUAAAAGCAUUAUCAAGCUCUGGUGGACGGAACUUCUCAGCUAACGAGCACC